rnacentral:rRNA from 1 species
GAUGAACGCUGGCGGCGUGCCUAAUACAUGCAAGUCGAGCGAACAGAUGAGGAGCUUGCUCCUCUGACGUUAGCGGCGGACGGGUGAGUAACACGUGGAUAACCUACCUAUAAGACUGGGACAACUUCGGGAAACCGGAGCUAAUACCGGAUAAUAUAUUGAACCGCAUGGUUCAAUAGUGAAAGACGGUUUUGCUGUCACUUAUAGAUGGAUCCGCGCCGCAUUAGCUAGUUGGUAAGGUAACGGCUUACCAAGGCAACGAUGCGUAGCCGACCUGAGAGGGUGAUCGGCCACACUGGAACUGAGACACGGUCCAGACUCCUACGGGAGGCAGCAGUAGGGAAUCUUCCGCAAUGGGCGAAAGCCUGACGGAGCAACGCCGCGUGAGUGAUGAAGGUCUUCGGAUCGUAAAACUCUGUUAUUAGGGAAGAACAAAUGUGUAAGUAUCUAUGCACGUCUUGACGGUACCUAAUCAGAAAGCCACGGCUAACUACGUG